UACGUAGGGCGCAAGCGUUGUCCGGAAUUAUUGGGCGUAAAGAGCUCGUAGGCGGUCUGUUACGUCGGAAGUGAAAACCCGGGGCUUAAACCCCGGGCUUGCUUUCGAUACGGGCAGACUAGAGUGUGGUAGGGGAGACUGGAAUUCCUGGUGUAGCGGUGAAAUGCGCAGAUAUCAGGAGGAACACCGGUGGCGAAGGCGGGUCUCUGGGCCACUACUGACGCUGAGGAGCGAAAGCGUGGGGGAGCAAAACAGG
rnacentral:rRNA from 1 species